CGAACGGGUGAGUAACGCGUGAGGAACCUGCCUCAAAGAGGGGGACAACAGUUGGAAACGACGGCUAAUACCGCAUAAGCCCACGGCUCGGCAUCGAGCAGAGGGAAAAGGAGUGAUCCGCUUUGAGAUGGCCUCGCGUCCGAUUAGCUGGUUGGUGAGGUAACGGCCCACCAAGGCGACGAUCGGUAGCCGGACUGAGAGGUUGAACGGCCACAUUGGGACUGAGACACGGCCCAG
rnacentral:rRNA from 1 species